AACUCUUAGGGUGACACUCGGCUCUCGUCGAUGAAGAACGCAGCUAGCUGCGAGAAUUGAUGUGAAUUGCCCUGAGCUAUUGAUCAUCGACUCCUUCCCUGGUCGAACGCACUUGCAGGUCCCGCGAGAGUUUGGCUCGCCCUCUGGAGGCUACGCCUGUUGAGCGUCG
rnacentral:rRNA from 1 species